rnacentral:rRNA from 1 species
UUUGAUCCUGGCUCAGGACGAACGCUGGCGGCAUGCCUAAUACAUGUAAGUCGAACGAGUUCCCGUUGAUUGACGUGCUUGCACUGAUUUCAACAUUGGAACGAGUGGCGAACUGGUGAGUAACACGUGGAAAACCUGCCCAGAAGCAGGGGAUAACACUUGGAAACAGGUGCUAAUACCGUAUAACAACAAAAACCGCAUGGUUUUUGUUUGAAAGGUGGCUUCGGCUAUCACUUCUGGAUGGUUCCGCGGCGCAUUAGCUUGUUGGUGGGGUAACGGCUCACCAAGGCGAUGAUGCGUAGCCGACCUGAGAGGGUAAUCGGCCACAUUGGGACUGAGACACGGCCCAGACUCCUACGGGAGGCAGCAGUAGGGAAUCUUCCACAAUGGACGCAAGUCUGAUGGAGCAAUGCCGCGUGAGUGAAGAAGGGUUUCGGCUCGUAAAACUCUGUUGUUGAAGAAGAACGGGUGUCAGAGUAACUGUUGACAUCGUGACGGUAUUCAACCAGAAAGCCACGGCUAACUACGUGCCAGCAGCCGCGGUAAUACGUAGGUGGCAAGCGUUGUCCGGAUUUAUUGGGCGUAAAGCGAGCGCAGGCGGUUUCUUAAGUCUGAUGUGAAAGCCUUCGGCUUAACCGAAGAAGUGCAUCGGAAACUGGGGAACUUGAGUGCAGAAGAGGACAGUGGAACUCCAUGUGUAGCGGUGGAAUGCGUAGAUAUAUGGAAGAACACCAGUGGCGAAGGCGGCUGUCUAGUCUGCAACUGACGCUGAGGCUCGAAAGCAUGGGUAGCGAA